UUCGGCCAUAGUGGCGCACGGGUGAGUAACGCGUGGGAACCUGCCCAGCAGUGGGGAAUAACUUCGGGAAACCGGGGCUAAUACCGCAUACGCCCUUAGGGGGAAAGAUUUAUCGCUGUUGGAGGGGCCCGCGUCCGAUUAGUUUGCUGGUGGGGUAAUGGCCUACCAAGACUACGAUCGGUAGCUGGUCUGAGAGGAUGAUCAGCCACACUGGGACUGAGACACGGCCCAGACUCCUACGGGAGGCAGCAGUGGGGAAUAUUGGACAAUGGGCGCAAGCCUGAUCCAGCAAUGCCGCGUGAGUGAUGAAGGCCUUAGGGUUGUAAAGCUCUUUCGGCGGGGACGAUGAUGACGGUACCCGCAGAAGAAGCCCCGGCUAACUUCGUGCCAGCAGCCGCGGUAAUACGAAAGGGGGCUAGCGUUGUUCGGAAAUUACUGGGCGUAAAGAGCACGUAGGCGGUUCGUUAAA
rnacentral:rRNA from 1 species